AGAGUUUGAUCCUGGCUCAGGACGAACGCUGGCGGCGUGCUUAACACAUGCAAGUCGAACGGUGAACUCCGCUUGCGGGGGGAUCAGUGGCGAACGGGUGAGUAACACGUGGGCAACCUGCCCCCGGCUCUGGGAUAACUCCAAGAAAUUGGGGCUAAUACCGGAUAUGACUGCUGACCGCAUGGUCUGGUGGUGGAAAGAUUUAUCGGCUGGGGAUGGGCCCGCGGCCUAUCAGCUUGUUGGUGGGGUAGUGGCCUACCAAGGCGACGACGGGUAGCCGGCCUGAGAGGGUGACCGGCCACACUGGGACUGAGACACGGCCCAGACUCCUACGGGAGGCAGCAGUGGGGAAUAUUGCGCAAUGGGCGGAAGCCUGACGCAGCGACGCCGCGUGGGGGAUGACGGCCUUCGGGUUGUAAACCUCUUUCAGCAGGGACGAAGCGGAAGUGACGGUACCUGCAGAAGAAGCACCGGCCAACUACGUGCCAGCAGCCGCGGUAAUACGUAGGGUGCAAGCGUUGUCCGGAAUUAUUGGGCGUAAAGAGCUCGUAGGCGGUCUGUCACGUCGGCUGUGAAAUCCCGAGGCUCAACCUCGGGUCUGCAGUCGAUACGGGCAAACUAGAGUGUUGCAGGGGAGACUGGAAUUCCUGGUGUAGCGGUGAAAUGCGCAGAUAUCAGGAGGAACACCGGUGGCGAAGGCGGGUCUCUGGGCAACAACUGACGCUGAGGAGCGAAAGCGUGGGGAGCGAACAGGAUUAGAUACCCUAGUAGUCC
rnacentral:rRNA from 1 species